GACGAACGCUGGCGGCGUGCCUAAUACAUGCAAGUAGAACGCUGAAGGAGGAGCUUGCUCUUCUGGAUGAGUUGCGAACGGGUGAGUAACGCGUAGGUAACCUGCCUGGUAGCGGGGGAUAACUAUUGGAAACGAUAGCUAAUACCGCAUAAGAGUAGAUGUUGCAUGACAUUUACUUAAAAGGUGCAAUUGCAUCACUACCAGAUGGUCCUGCGUUGUAUUAGCUAGUUGGUGGGGUAACGGCUUACCAAGGCGACGAUACAUAGCCGACCUGAGAGGGUGAUCGGCCACACUGGGACUGAGACACGGCCCAGACUCCUACGGGAGGCAGCAGUAGGGAAUCUUCGGCAAUAGACGGAAGUCUGACCGAGCAACGCCGCGUGAGUGAAGAAGGUUUUCGGAUCGUAAAGCUCUGUUGUAAGAGAAGAACGAGUGUGAGAGUGGAAAGUUCACACUGUGACGGUAUCUUACCAGAAAGGGACGGCUAACUACGUG
rnacentral:rRNA from 1 species